rnacentral:misc_RNA from 1 species
GUUCCUUUUCUGCAACCUCAGUCUCUUCAUCUUCCUGAUCCUCUUCCUCUUCUCGCCCGAGUCGAAGCUGGCUGCUCCAACCAUAACAGCGUUGGCGAAACUGCUGCAAGGGAAACAUUGGAGCAAGUUAUCGCUGAGGCUCUUUCAAAAUCAGGUUCAGAUAGAUCUGCAGUUCGAGCUAUUUGUUUAUCUGUUUCUGGUGUAAACCAUCCAACGGAUCAG